rnacentral:rRNA from 1 species
GUGUCAGCCGCCGCGGUAAGACGAACCGUGCAAACGUUGUUCGGAAUCACUGGGCUUAAAGGGCGCGUAGGCGGUCGGUCAAGUCCGGGGUGAAAUCCUGCAGCUCAACUGUAGAAGUGCCUUGGAUACUGACUGGCUCGAGGGAGGUAGGGGUCUGUGGAACUUCUGGUGGAGCGGUGAAAUGCGUUGAUAUCAGAAGGAACGCCGGUGGCGAAAGCGACAGACUGGACCUUUUCUAACGCUGAGGCGCGAAAGCUAGGGGAGCAAACGGGAUUAGAUACCCGCGUAGUCC